AGAAGAAGAAGAAAAUCUGCUGUCUGCUGUCACGCGCCCGUUUGGGAUCUUUGUCUUCAUUCUUGCAGUACGGAAUGCUGAAUUAGGAUUUUAGAGAAACUCACCUUCUGCCAGAUGAUAGGAUUCGACAAGCAUGGCUUGAAAGCAUUCUUGGAAGCCGCUGUUGUCAUGGCCACCCUUUGCUCCGAACAACAUGGAAGACGGAAGACGAGAUUGAUUUAGUAUCUGAUGAUGCGCAGGCGCUCACGUUAGUUUCUGUACAGGUUCAUCUCGUGAGGACAUUAUGUUUCUAUUUCUCUGUUUGAAAGCUUUUGGGAGGUUCCUAAUAGUUUAAUUAGUAAAAGAUAAGUGAAACAACAAUUCAUGGAAUGCGAAAAUGAGGCUACACUACAACAGAAAACCAAAAAAAAAAAAAAACUAUUAGAGUCAAAACCAUCCCAACUGACGAAUGCUGCGUCUAGAUGCUUGCACCACUUCAGAGCAUUCAAACAACUGUUUCUUGGGCUAAAAUGGCCACACGUCCUACUGAUUCGUCAGUAAUCAUCGAUAGAGAGUGAUGAAUCUGCACUGUACCGAUUAGGAGGAGCAAGUGCUGAUGCUUUUAGAUAACUUGUCAACAGGAGUUGGGAGGCCAGGUCACGGGAGGAAGCUUUAGAAGAGAUUGCAUUCUCCUUGGUUCGAGACAAACUGCACCCAAACCACAGUGCUACAGUAAGCUUCGUUCAU
rnacentral:lncRNA from 1 species